AGCGAACGCUGGCGGCAGGCUUAACACAUGCAAGUCGAGCGGCCGUAGCAAUACGGCAGCGGCAGACGGGAGAGUAACACGUGGGAACGUACCCUUCAGUACGGAACAACCAAGGGAAACUUUGGCUAAUACCGUAUACGUCCGUAAGGAGAAAGAUUUAUCGCUGAAGGAUCGGCCCGCGUCCGAUUAGCUAGUUGGUGAGGUAACGGCUCACCAAGGCGACGAUCAGUAGCUGGGCUGAGAGGAUGAUCAGCCUCACUGGGACGGAGACACGGCCCAGACUCCUACGGGAGGCAGCAGUGGGGAAUAUUGGACAAUGGGCGCAAGCCUGAUCCAGCCAUGCCGCGUGGAUGAUGAAGGCCCUAGGGUUGUAAAGUCCUUUUAACGGGGAAGAUAAUGACGGUACCCGUAGAAUAAGCCCCGGCUAACUUCGUGCCAGCCGCCGCAGUAA
rnacentral:rRNA from 1 species